GACGAACGCUGGCGGCGUGCUUAACACAUGCAAGUCGAACGCUGAAGCCCAGCUUGCUGGGUGGAUGAGUGGCGAACGGGUGAGUAACACGUGAGUAACCUGCCCCCUUCUUUGGGAUAACGCCCGGAAACGGGUGCUAAUACUGGAUAUUCACUGGCCUUCGCAUGGGGGUUGGUGGAAAGGUUUUUUCUGGUGGGGGAUGGGCUCGCGGCCUAUCAGCUUGUUGGUGGGGUGAUGGCCUACCAAGGCUUUGACGGGUAGCCGGCCUGAGAGGGUGACCGGUCACAUUGGGACUGAGAUACGGCCCAGACUCCUACGGGAGGCAGCAGUGGGGAAUAUUGCACAAUGGGCGAAAGCCUGAUGCAGCGACGCCGCGUGAGGGAUGACGGCCUUCGGGUUGUAAACCUCUUUCGCUCAUGGUCAAGCCGCAACAGUGGUUGUGGUGAGGGUAGUGGGUAAAGAAGCGCCGGCUAACUACGUGCCAGCAGCCGCGGUAAUACGUAGGGCGCGAGCGUUGUCCGGAAUUAUUGGGCGUAAAGGGCUUGUAGGCGGUUGGUCGCGUCUGCCGUGAAAUCCUCUGGCUUAACUGGGGGCGUGCGGUGGGUACGGGCUGACUUGAGUGCGGUAGGGGAGACUGGAACUCCUGGUGUAGCGGUGGAAUGCGCAGAUAUCAGGAAGAACACCGGUGGCGAAGGCGGGUCUCUGGGCCGUUACUGACGCUGAGGAGCGAAAGCGUGGGGAGCGAACAGG
rnacentral:rRNA from 1 species